UACAGAGGGGGCAAGCGUUGUUCGGAAUUACUGGGCGUAAAGGGCGCGUAGGCGGCCCGCUAAGUCGAACGUGAAAUCCCUGGGCUCAACCCAGGAACUGCGUCCGAUACUGGCAGGCUUGAAUCCGGGAGAGGGAUGCGGAAUUCCAGGUGUAGCGGUGAAAUGCGUAGAUAUCUGGAGGAACACCGGUGGCGAAGGCGGCAUCCUGGACCGGUAUUGACGCUGAGGCACGAAAGCGUGGGGAGCAAACAGG
rnacentral:rRNA from 1 species